rnacentral:rRNA from 1 species
GGCCUAUCAGCUUGUUGGUGGGGUAACGGCCUACCAAGGCUCCGACGGGUAGCUGGUCUGAGAGGACGACCAGCCACACUGGGACUGAGACACGGCCCAGACUCCUACGGGAGGCAGCAGUGGGGAAUCUUGCGCAAUGGGCGAAAGCCUGACGCAGCAACGCCGCGUGGGGGACGAAGGCCUUCGGGUUGUAAACCCCUUUCAGCAGGGACGAACAUGACGGUACCUGCAGAAGAAGCCCCGGCCAACUACGUGCCAGCAGCCGCGGUAAUACGUAGGGGGCGAGCGUUGUCCGGAUUUAUUGGGCGUAAAGAGCUCGCAGGCGGUUUGGCAAGUCGGGUGUGAAAACUUCGGGCUCAACUCGGAGACGCCACUCGAUACUGCCAUGACUCGAGUCCGGUAGGGGAGUGCGGAAUUCCUGGUGUAGCGGUGAAAUGCGCAGAUAUCAGGAGGAACACCGGUGGCGAAGGCGGCACUCUGG